GGAUGUAAGGGUAAUAUGACUGCAACUUCUGUCACCCCAUUGAUCACCAAGGUUGAUUCGGCUAAUCUGGCUGGCUAGGCGGGUGUCUCCUUCCUCCCUCACCUCUCCAUAGGCGUCCCUCCUGAAGCUGUGCGCUCAGUUGAAGAAGAUGACCGUCCCCGAUAGAGGAGGACUGGUCUUUGGUCAAGGGUAUACGAGUACUGUGCACCCCUGCUAGAACCUCCAAACAAGCUCCCAAGUAGCUAGGACCACAGGUGUGCACCACCAUGCCCAGCUAAUUUUUUAUCCUUUGAUCUUU
rnacentral:snRNA from 10 species